rnacentral:tRNA from 1 species
CGGGCUAUGGGGUAAUGGUAACCCGCCUGGUUCGGGACCAGGAACAUCCCGGUUCGAGCCCGGGUAGCCCGACCA